UGCAGGUGACUUCAGACCCAUCCAGUUGAAUGUGUGGAAAUAAUACUGAGCAGAGGGGCAUAACUUUUUAAAUUGGUGUAUCCCCCCUCCAGCACACCUGACUCUGAGCUGCUAUGAGAAAGCCAGAGGCGUCUAGGAGCUUGCAGAAAUCUUGCUACUACUCCAAAAUGUUUGCUUGCAUAAUUUAUUUAGCUCAGACAUGCCUCAGUUCAAAGAGAGCAAAGAAAUCACAGAAAUGGGCAGGAGGAAAAUCUUUGCAUGCUGUUUUGCAAAGCUGGAACUUUGCAGUGUGCUACAGGGAUUCAGGACAAAAUCUGCCACGGAUACUACAUUCACACCUUUGCAUUAAUAUUUCAGGUUGGAGAUCUGUUAAAUUUCACUGGUAAUGAAAGCCUACAGAGUCUCCCCACAUGAGUGCUGCAAUCCAUCCAUGUGGAUGGAUGGAUUUCAGUGUUGAGUCCUUUGUGCCAGAGCUUCCCACUGCAUUUCAGACCUGGUUACAGGAAACUUGUCUGAUGGAGGAAAACAAAGUUCUGUUUCCCUUCCCAUUCCUCCUGACUCUAAGCAGCAUCACACCAUGUUCUUCCUGCCUGGCUGACACAAGAGCAAUGCCAGUACGGGCCAGUGCUAAAAGACCAGAUCUCUUAAGGGAUGCAAAGAACUUGGAAACUGUGCUGAUGGACAUCGUAGACACAGAAAGUGGGAAAAAUGGUUCUUUGACUUCCUUCACAAUAUAACAUCAUGUCAAAAAUAGACUUGAGAUCCUGUUAUUUAUAUUACUGAAGUACUGAAUGGCCUUGCCUGAGAACAGGCUGUUCCAGCAUUAACUGGAGUGCUGUGUUUCAAUGGGAGAUGGUCUGUGCCAUGAAGAACUGACACGUGAGGUAAACAAGAAGGACAAGGAGUCUUCUGACAGCUGGAGCAGCCCACGACCACCAGCUGGAAGUGGUGAAGUACAAGUGGCAAAUCUAAGCCAUUUUCCAAGGCUGUCCGUGAAGAAGUUACUGGCUUUAUCCUCCUCCCUGCUCACCCAGAGGAUGUGGUGCUCAGCUUGGCACUGAUGGCAGAUGACUCAGCCACCCCACAAGGAUUGCAAACCUCUUUAGGAGAUGAGGAAACCCCUGUGGCUGUCAGAGCUACUUACUCACAGUGCCACAUCAGCAUGACAGCUCUGAAGAAGCGAGCAGCUGCAAGACGUGCCUUGCUUUGGGGAGGCUCAGCAACAGCUUCUCAGGAUAACAGCAUCUCUCCAUCUGCAUCUCAGUGAUGAGUUGCAAACACAGUGCAAGUCAAUCUUUGCCAUCCAAAACAUGCUUAGUAAGAGCGGCAGCGUUUCUCUGAGAAGGUGUGGCAUUGAAUGCAAAUGAACAGUGUCUUGAGAUGGCAUUAAUUUAUGCCACAGAAAAAAAAAAAGCUCUUUCAUGUGCUCCACGUGCUACAUGACCAAAAAUGUGUUGACCUAUGCGUGGCCACACUCAGACCUCUACAAAUGGGGUUCCUUUGGAACUGUUUAUUUUCCACUCUCCAAGACCUUUCAUUGGAUAGAGCACGUUGAAAGGCAAGAAAGAAAGAAAGAAAGAAAGAAAGAAAAUAUAUGCUGAGUGACUCUGCGAGAAAGCAUGAGAAAGCCUUACAAGGCAAAAUAAAAAGAUCUGGGCUGUGGCUGGAGGCUUGGUUCCUACCCCAGCUCAGCACUGUGCUCAGCCCAUCCAUGUGCUGG
ensembl:lncRNA